rnacentral:rRNA from 1 species
UGCCAGCCGCCGCGGUAAUACGGAGGGUGCAAGCGUUGUUCGGAAUUAUUGGGCGUAAAGAGCAUGUAGGCGGACUAUUAAGUCUGGCGUGAAAGCCCCAGGCUCAACCUGGGAACUGCGUUUGAUACUGGAUACCUAGAGUCCGAGAGAGGGUGGUGGAAUUCCCAGCGUAGAGGUGAAAUUCGUAGAUAUUGGGAAGAACACCCGUGGCGAAGGCGGUCUACCAGAACACGUCCGACGGUGAGGGAUGAAAGCUGGGGGAGCAAACCGGAUUAGAUA